rnacentral:rRNA from 1 species
AUUGAACGCUGGCGGCAGGCUUAACACAUGCAAGUCGAGCGAGCGGCGGACGGGUGAGUAAUGUAUGGGAACCUGCCUGGUGGUGGGGGAUAACUAAUGGAAAGGGUAGCUAAUACCGCAUACUAUUAGAUGUGCCAAGAUGUGAUUAGCUAGUAGGUGGGGUAAUGGCCUACCUAGGCGACGAUCCCUAGCUGGUCUGAGAGGAUGACCAGCCACACUGGAACUGAGACACGGUCCAGACUCCUACGGGAGGCAGCAGUGGGGAAUAUUGCACAAUGGGCGCAAGCCUGAUGCAGCCAUGCCGCGUGUGUGAAGAAGGCCUUCGGGUUGUAAAGCACUUUCAGCGAGGAGGCGUUACUCGCAGAAGAAGCACCGGCUAACUCCGUGCCAGCAGCCGCGGUAAUUC